rnacentral:rRNA from 1 species
GACGAACGCUGGCGGCGUGCUUAACACAUGCAAGUCGAACGAAGUGGCGAACGGGUGAGUAACGCGUAAUCAACCUGCCAUUCAGCGGGGGACAACAGUUGGAAACGACUGCUAAUUCCGCAUAUGGAAGGCGGGGAUUGCGGCUGAUUAGCUAGUUGAGGGGGAAACGGCCCACCAAGGCGAUGGUCAGUAGGCGGUCUGAGAGGAUGAACGGCCACAGUGGGACUGGGACACGGCCCAGACUGCUACGGGAGGCAGCAGUGGGGAAUCUUCCGCAAUGGAAGAAAGUCUGACGGAGCAACGCCGCGUGAGUGAUGACGGCCUUCGGGUUGUAAAGCUCUGUUAAUCGGGACGCGGUACCGGAAGAGAAAGCCACGGCUAACUACGUGCCAGCAGCCGCGGUAAUAC